rnacentral:sRNA from 12 species
GCCCCGUGUUCCGAACUGUCUCCGUAUGGAGCGCGUGCCUGCCGUUGGCAGGAUAGGACACGGGGCCGCC